UGGCGGCAGGCUUAACACAUGCAAGUCGAGCGGUAGCAGAUCUAGCUUGCUAGAUGCUGACGAGCGGCGGACGGGUGAGUAACGCGUAGGAACCUGCCCAGUAGUGGGGGAUAGCCCGGGGAAACUCGGAUUAAUACCGCAUACGCUCUACGGAGGAAAGAGGGGGCUUCGGCUCUCGCUAUUGGAUGGGCCUGCGUGAGAUUAGCUAGUUGGUGAGGUAAUGGCUCACCAAGGCGACGAUCUCUAGCUGGUCUGAGAGGAUGAUCAGCCACACUGGGACUGAGACACGGCCCAGACUCCUACGGGAGGCAGCAGCGGGGAAUAUUGCACAAUGGGCGCAAGCCUGAUGCAGCCAUGCCGCGUGUGUGAAGAAGGCUUUCGGGUUGUAAAGCACUUUCAGUGGGGAGGAAGGCCUCGUAGUUAAUAGCUGCGAGGAUUGACGUUACCCACAGAAGAAGCACCGGCUAACUCCGUG
rnacentral:rRNA from 1 species